rnacentral:misc_RNA from 1 species
GCGGUUCGGAAUCCAUGUGGGCUUUCUGGUUUGGAUGAUUCCUGCUUCAUUCUAAAGUGAGGUUUUUUUUAUUCCGAGUUGGCGCCUGCAGGGGAUUCUAAAAAGGCAUUCUAUUCUCUUUCUUUCCUUCUUGAAAGUCAAAUUUUGAGAUAUGUCACUUCUGUCUAAAAGGCUAAGGCUCCCUCCCAACUUUCGAAUUCUUUCUAAGCCUCUUUACUAGACUAUUAGUGGCAUUUCGUUAAGAGCACAUUCCUCCUAACUUCCAAAAGCUUAUCCAAGCAGCUUUU